GGGCAGCAGUGGGGAAUAUUGCACAAUGGGCGGAAGCCUGAUGCAGCAACGCCGCGUGCGGGAUGACGGCCUUCGGGUUGUAAACCGCUUUCGCCUGUGACGAAGCGUGAGUGACGGUAAUGGGUAAAGAAGCACCGGCUAACUACGUGCCAGCAGCCGCGGUGAUACGUACGGUGCGAGCGUUGUCCGGAUUUAUUGGGCGUAAAGGGCUCGUAGGUGGUUGAUCGCGUCGGAAGUGUAAUCUUGGGGCUUAACCCUGAGCGUGCUUUCGAUACGGGUUGACUUGAGGAAGGUAGGGGAGAAUGGAAUUCCUGGUGGAGCGGUGGAAUGCGCAGAUAUCAGGAGGAACACCAGUGGCGAAGGCGGUUCUCUGGGCCUUUCCUGACGCUGAGGAGCGAAAGCGUGGGGAGCGAACAGGCUUAGAUACCCUGGUAGUCCACGCUGUAAACGGUGGGUACUAGGUGUGGGGUCCAUUCCACGGGUUCCGUGCCGUAGCUAACGCUUUAAGUACCCCGCCUGGGGAGUACGGCCGCAAGG
rnacentral:rRNA from 1 species